rnacentral:rRNA from 1 species
ACUCAAAGGAAUAGACGGGGGCCCGCACAAGCAGCGGAGCGUGUGGUUUAAUUCGAGGUUACACGAAGAACCUUACCUGGGUUGGACAUGGCGGUGGUAGGGAAGCGAAAGCCAACCGACCUUCGGGAGCCGUCACAGGUGCUGCAUGGCUGUCGUCAGCUCGUGUCGUGAGAUGUUCGGUUAAGUCCGAAAACGAGCGCAACCCCCAGUGUGCGUUACAUGUGUCGCACGCGACUGCCCGUGACAAACGGGAGGAAGGUGGGGAUGACGUCAAGUCAGCAUGGCCUUUAUAUCCAGGGCUACACACACGCUACAAUGGUCGGUACAACGGGACGCGAAACCGCGAGGGGGAGCCAAUCCCACAAAGCCGAUCGUAGUUCGGAUUGCAGGCUGCAACUCGCCUGCAUGAAGCUGGAGUUGCUAGUAACCGCGCGUCAGCCAUAGUGCGGUGAAUACGUUCCCGGGCCUUGUACACACCGCCCGU